CCCGCCCUGGCCCCGCUCCCCCGCUCGGCCUCAGGGCCCGGCUCCGGGGCCGCAGCGGCGGCGGGAGAGGCGCGUGUGCCCCAAACCUGCCCCGAGCCCGCCCUGCCGCGCCCCCUCGGCCCCGCUCGGCGAAUCUGCUCCAGAGUCCUUCAAGGAAACACUGACACUGGUAUUUUUAGAAGAAAUGACUCAGCUUGUGUGUUGGAUUGCCAGGCAGCCCUGGUGCCAGCAGAGGGAUUGAUUCCCAGCUCUCGGUGCCUUUGAGUGCCCACACACUGAGCAUCAACUUGUGUCCAAGUGAGCUCUGACAGUUGUGACUGAUCACCGUGGCUGCCAGUGUGCGAAGGCAGCAGACAAAGCCUUGCUUAAUUCAACUGCUGUAUUAAACAAUUUGUAUUGCUUUACCAAUAAAAACCAGACAAAACCCCAGUCAA